rnacentral:lncRNA from 1 species
CAUUUGUUCACUUAAUUCCAUUCCCGUAACCCCACCAUUCCUUUGCAAACCAUUUGAAAGAAUUCCCAAAAAUUAAAAUCCAUUUUCACCUUGUCCCUGCCCCUGCCCCUGCCCAUAGCCUCCGGCCGAAUGGAACCGCCGAUUGCCGACUCACUGUCGUCCCGUGAGUGACAGACUCUCACCGAUUCACCGCCUCACGCCUGGCUGCCAACUUGGGUUAGGUUUUACGGUAAGUAAUCUGCGUUAUUAUGUGGAAAUUUCUGAUUGCUAGCAAUUUCUUGGGGGAAGAUGACCUCAUUAUAAUGGACCUCGACGGUUUGCCUUUAUGUUAUAAUUUCUUGCUACAUUACAACUGCGUUCUGAUUGUUGAGUAGUUAACAUAAUGUUGUCAAAAACUAUGCUUCGCCGCUAUUUCUCUUUGUUAGUUAGUUCAGAAGUUACAAAUAGGCAUAAUCUUGUGUUGCUAUGGAACUGUGGGCGAGAAAUCUUGGAUGUUCCCUCACUAUUCAUAUACUUUUUGAAAUAGUUGCUGCACAGUCGAAAUCAAAUUAAGUGGAAUCAAAAAUCUAAAUCUAAUGUAAUUACAGGAUUUUUUCUUCACCACUGAUAAUGAUUUUCUGAAUUAAUUAGCAAACACAAGUUUUUUUCGUUUUAAAAACAUCAAUUCUGACACAGAUACAAGAUCAAUUAUCGUUCAUUCUUCUUAAUCAUUAGUAUCAUCACCUUCUACAUUGCAGACUAACUGAAUCCCAAUGGAGGUUAGUUGGGAAUGUCGGGGCUGGGCUGAAAAGGUGGGCUAGAAGAUUAUAUGUAAGUUCCACCCCACUGCUUUGUCUGAACAGUGAAGAAGGUAGGUCAUUGAUUAUGUGCAAAGAUUAAUCCAGAAUUCCAAAUAUGGAUCUGUACUAUUAAAAACUUAUCACCAUGAUGGAGAUAUCGAUUUGUCAUUGUUGGAAUCCUGGAUCAAUUAUGGGAUUUAUUGUAUCUUAUAUUUUUGGUAUAAUUAUCAAUUAAGCAGGUUGAAAUCUUUGAUACUUUUCUUUAAUUCUUUUGCUGCGUGAUUUAGUUUGAGUAUUUGAAGUUGUCAUUUUUUUUUUGGUUAGCUUGGAUUAUGAUUUGGGAAAGAAUCUGAUCCUAUUUCAAAUAUGAAAUGCUUCAGAACUAAAGUAUGGUCUGAUAGUUUAUUCAUUUCAUAUAACUAAAAUCAUGGCUUGUAGGUAGGUGACAAUAUUAUGAUUGGAGAUUUUUCAUGAUAAUUUUUAUGCUUUUCUAUAAAUUCUGAAAUUUUGGUGUUACUCUGUUUGUAUAGUUUUUUCUCUAGCUCUUUGGCAUAGCACACUGAAUCUUUUACUUAAUACUGAAAAUGGAGUUAAGAAAAAGAAGCCAUUUUGGUUGUGCUGUUAAUUUUGUGUAAAACUUUUUUUGUUUUAUUGAUCUUAGUGAAUAUAUAUCUGGUUUACGAAUUGAGUAUGCUUUGCAUAAAUGUAAAGGCUCCAAAGUCUCAACUACGUCGCUCAUUAAAGGUCUAGCUUUUGGUUUUUGGCUCAGACAAUAAUAUGCCAAGUUGCAAGCUUUCUGUGCUGCCCUUACUGAGUAAUGAUUCACUAAUCUGGGGUCUAUUAUUUGAAGCAUUUUUCCCUUGUCAUUUAACUUCGGCCUGGCCCAAUCUAUUGAACUUUGCUCCUUGCUUGGCCUUUUUUUGUCCACGGAUUUCCUUCCUGUCAACAGCUCCAAAAGUACAAUCCCAAAACUGUGAACAUCACUUCUGGCAGUAAGGUGCCCUGCCCAUGUCAAGCCAACAUAAUUCUUAAAGUGUUUGAUUUAAUAACUAUACUUUUCAUCGUACUUGUAUCACUUCCUAGUAUUUGAUAUAAGCGCAGAAAAGGAUUGAAGAUUGUGACACAUCAAUUUUCGAUACGCCUGCUGAAUAUUCCAUCCAUGAUGAUGCUAUAGCUCGAGUUUUAGGUCCCGAACGUCAUGGGAGAGUUAGGGGACUCGAAUUUGGAGUUGUACCAUCAAAGGUGGAUGAACAAAUUCAAAGUAGUGGGAGAGUUAGAGAACUUGAAAGCCAAGUACAGAUUCAAGCACAAAGGAUGGGGACAUUAGAAGAAAAAAUGGAAGCAUUUAUCAUGUUUUCUUAGUAGGUUAUAAGUAGUUACUUUUUAUACAUUUCAUGAUUAUAUAGCUUUAUAUAGCCAAUUACAUGUAUAAUAACUUUUGUAAUUUUUGUAUCAUUAUACAGAAUGUGGAGGAUGGGAAUUCAAAUGCUUUUACUCAAGUUUCCGUUUCCUAUUUUAUUAAGUAUUUAUUUAAUAUAUAUUCAGUUUGUA